rnacentral:rRNA from 1 species
CACGUAGGGCGCAAGCGUUGUCCGGAAUUAUUGGGCGUAAAGAGCUCGUAGGCGGUCUGUUACGUCUGCUGUGAAAACCCGGGGCGUUAACCCUGGGCUUGCAGUGGAUACGGGCAGACUAGAGGCAGGUAGGGGAGAAUGGAAUUCCCGGUGUAGCGGUGAAAUGCGCAGAUAUCGGGAGGAACACCGGUGGCGAAGGCGGGUCUCUGGGCCGAUACUGGACGCUGAGGAGCGAAAGCGUGGGGAGCGAACAGG